GCGCGAUUAGCUCAGUGGUAGAGCACUGCCUUCACACGGCAGGGGUCACUGGUUCGAACCCAGUAUCGCGCACCA
rnacentral:tRNA from 1 species